rnacentral:sRNA from 1 species
UUUCCACGGAGUUUUCUGGAACAAAAACUUCUCUUCAAGCUUUAUUUUUUCUGAAGCAGCAUCUACCCCUAAGGAGUAGAACCUCGUACUUUGCACAAGCAAUGAAAGCUCAAUGGCGCAACCACCUCAAUGUCCUUUUUCUUCCAUAUCCAACACCUGGCCAUAUGAUACCAAUGGUAGACACUGCCAGACUAUUUGCCAAGCAUGGUGCGAGUGCUACCAUUAUCACUACCAAAGCCAAUGCUUUAACAUUCCAAAAGGACAUUGAAGAUGACUUCAGUUGUGGAUACGACAUCAGAACUCUUGUGAUUCCAUUCCCUGCGGACCAAGUUGGUCUCCCUGAUGGGGUUGAAAACAUUAAAGAUAGCACUACCCCAGAAAUGUUGGGUCAAAUCAGGCAUGGAAUAUCAAUGCUUAAAGAUCAAAUUGAGCUUCUGUUUCAAGACCUGCAACCAGAUUGUAUAGUGACUGAUUUUUGCUAUCCUUGGACAGUGGAGUCUGCUACAAAACUGGGCAUUCCAAGGCUUUUCUUUUACAGCUCAAGCUACUUCUCCAACUGCGUUAGUCAUUCUAUUAGGAAGCAUAGACCUCAUGAAAUCCUAGUCUCUGAUACCCAAAAGUUUACAAUUCCCGGUUUACCUCAAAGAAUAGAGAUGACGCCAGCGCAGGUAGCGGAAUGGGAAAGGACUAAGAACGAAACCACAGGCUACUUUGAUGCAAUGUUUGAAUCGGAGACUAAAAGCUAUGGAGCACUGUAUAAUAGUUUUCAUGAACUUGAA